rnacentral:rRNA from 1 species
UACAGAGGGUGCAAGCGUUAAUCGGAAUGACUGGGCGUAAAGGGCACGUAGGCGGCUAGAUGUGUUAUAGGUGAAAUCCCCGGGCUUAACCUGGGAACUGCCUAUAAAACUGUUUGGCUAGAAUAUAGGAGAGGUAAGUGGAAUUUCCGGUGUAGCGGUGAAAUGCGUAGAUAUCGGAAAGAACACCAGUGGCGAAGGCGACUUACUGGUCUAAUAUUGACGCUGAGGUGCGAAAGCGUGGGGAGCAAACGGG